rnacentral:lncRNA from 1 species
CGCGCCUGCGCCCCGCGCCCGCGGCGGCCGAGCCGGGGCAGCUGCUGAGCGCCGCGGCGGCGGCGGAGACAAAGCGCCGGGUAAUGAAUGGGACGGGCCCGCCCGGCCCUUCCUCUUAACUCCUUCGGGCCCGGCCGGGCGGCGGCAGCGGCGACCUCCGGUUUCCCCCGCGGCGGCCGCCCGGGGAGAUACAAUCAUCUCAUUAAGUUUGAGUAGCAAGUAUUUAACCUCAAAUGAAGCCGCCUGCCUGCCUUGGAACAGAUGUCUUCUGACUAUAGAUGUUUUUGGAAGCCUGGGAUUCCUGAGUAAGAUGCCGUAGAGAAAGAAUUGUUCAUAUGAAGAUAUGCAUUUUUAUAUGGAG